CACUUCAACACCAGCCGUUCUCUCUUUUCAUCUGUCUUUUUUUUAUUUCUCAUUUUCUUUCUUUGCCCUAAUUUUCUUCUCCAACAAUGGGCAAAAACGUAGUCUAUGAUGAAGAAGAUGGAAGCUCUUUAUUCGAAGCUCUACGAUAAGUACACGAAACUCAAGUUGAGCCGAGGAAGCAGAUCUCAUGCUCUUUGCAACUGUUGAAUAAGACCGAUAACUAUGUGGCUUUCAAGGUGAAGACUACAAAUCCAAAGAAGUACUGUGUGAGGCCCAAUACUGGAAUUGUGAUGCCCAGGUCUUCCUGUGAUGUUAUAGGUAACAUCACGGGCUUAUGCAGCACGACCAGAGCCUCGAGAUAACUCAUCCAAGUUGAGGAGAAUUCAAUGAGUUUCGGUCUCUGAUGAUAAUUCUUCUCGCUCUCCAUCUGAUUCUACUCAUAAGGGUGUGGCGGUGGUGAGUGCUGUCUGUAAAGCUUUGAGCUUGAGUUGUGAGGCUUAUAAAUAGGGUGUGUUAAUUUGGUCUGGUGAAAGAUGGGAUAAGUGGCCUUUUGGAGUUUCAUUAUUGUGGCCGUUGUUGUUGGAGUUUAAAAGUUACUUACACAUGGUUUGCGUGGAGUUAAAGGAGCUAAUCAAAAUGUAGGCAUGGAUUAUAUGCUACUGUUAUUGGUAGACUGAGCGAAAUUAGAGCAUAAGCAUAUCCAAUGAGCCAAUGGAGAAGCUCUUACAGCUUGAUAACUUGAAAUACAAUAGGAGAAAUUAGGAACAAUGCUGGACAAGAUGACUUGCAUUCAGAAUAUGGUUACCAAAGAAUAAUGGCCCGCCAUUAUGCUAUUAGAGAUGGCUAUCCAGAGCAGUUUCUGUGCUUUGUGUGUUGCAGGUUUCACAAUAGAAGCUAGCAAAAAUUCGAACAGGUAUCCUUGCAAAAUCUGCGCUACUAUCAAAAGAUAGAUGACGUAUUUUUGAUCCUCCUCACCGUGCUGCUGCCGAUGAAGCCCAGACCUCCUAACAGAACAAAAGGGCCUCUCUCUCAAUCUCACUCGGACCUCUCUUCAUUACCAUUUGAUUUUGUUUCAGCGCCUUCCUUAUGUCUCUACAAAGAAUAUGUAGUUCUCCUUUUCGCCAUGCAUGCUGUAGCCAUGGAAGCCUUCAUUAGUUUUUUAGUUCUAGAAACGAGAGACUUGAGUGAAGAAGAAAUGAAUGUGAAAGCAUGGGAAACACACCGACUUUGGAAGAAGUGCAUCUGAUGAAGCCUUGCAAUAUAUGCUAGUUUUUAUUUUUCUGUCUCUUCUGUAUAAACAGUUUGGUUCUUCUAAUAUGUAAGAGUAAGACUCUUUUAUAUAAACAUUAUUUUCUUAAUUCACAAGUUCGUGUUACAAGAUGAAUGAGCCCAAAAACACGGAAAAAAUCUUUUAUCAGGAAAAAUACAUGAUUGUUGGACGAUAUGGCACAAGUUGGAGACCAUAAAUUUAGGAAACAACAAUUUCACCGACAACAUUCCAACAUCCAUUGGACCGUUGACUCUUCUCAAGUCUUUGCACCUACACAACAACAAACUCUCAAACAAAUUGCCAUCAUCUUUGAAAAAUUGUAUAGAAUUGGUUAUUAUUGAUCUCAGUGAAAAUGAGUUUGUUGGAUCCAUCCCUUCAUGGAUAUGACAUAGGCUUUUAAGCUUGAUGACUCUCAACCUUUGCUCAAAUAAUUUUCAUGGUCACAUUCUGAAAGGACUUUGUGCUAUAACUUCACUUCAGAUUUUUGACCUUUACCAUAAAAAACUAUUUGGAAGCAUACCAAGAUGCGUUAAAAAUUUUAGUGCCAUGGCCACAAAAAGUAAUUCAUAUCUCAAUAUGGAUUUUUACCCCCCAAUUUAUUCGUAUGGUGAAUCUUUCCCUCUUGAAAAUGCAUUGCUUGUGAUAAAGGGAAAAAUUCUUGAGUGUAGUACCAUUCUUCAACUAGUAAAAAGUAUUGACUUUUCCAAGAACAGCUUAUCAAGAGAGAUUCUAGAAGAAGUGACCAAUCUCUAAGAAUUACAGUCAUUGAAUUUGUCAUAUAAUCUCUAGAUUGGAAGUAUUCCUGUGAAUAUAGGUACUAUGGGUUCAUUGGAAUCUAUUGAUUUCUCUAUGAACCAACUUAUAGGUCAAAUUCCCUCAAGCAUGUCAAGUUUGACAUUUUAAAAUCAUUCGAACUUGUCAAACAACAAUUUGAUUGGGAAAAUUCCUUUAGGCACCCUGUUAUAGAGUUUUGAGGCAUCCAGUUUUAUUGGAAACAAACUUUGUGGACCACCACUUACUGAUAAUUGUACUACAAAUGGUGUAAAACCCAACAAUGAAAACAUAGGGAGUAAAGGUACUCUUGGACUUGAAGUGGAUUGGUUCUAUGUGAGCAUUGCAAUUGGCUUUGUGGUUGGUUUUUGGGUGUAUGCUGUCCUUUACUAUUGAACAAGCAAUGGAGAAUUAUCUACUUUCAAUUCCUAGAUCACAUGGGGGAUAGUUUUAGGGGUGUUGUUUCAUUGUAAGUAAAUGUUGUAAGAUUCUUCAUAUUUUAGUGCAAAUGUCAUGUGAUAAUGUUAAUCAAUGUUUUGAUGGUGUCUGUAACAUGUGUUAGUUAAUACACUCCACUAGCAUAUAUGAAUAUGAUAUUUCUUCCUAUGGACAACAAAUGCAAUCCAAUUUGUAGUUUCAUUUAAUCCCUGUAGAUUAAUAUUGUAAAAUCAAACUUUAGUUUGUACAAGCAAUGGAUUCAAUAAAAUAGUAUACCAUACCUACUUAUCAAAAAACAAAAGUAGUAUGCUAUACCUUGAAAUUACUCCUAGGCUUUGUUUCUGUUACUUUAAACAAAUGUUUAUCUUGAGUUUCAGCAGUGCUUUUGUUGAGUUCAUGGGUUUAACACAUUUUUGGAAACUUAAUUGGGAUUGGCCAUAUGCAAGUUUAACACAUUUUUGGUUCCCUAUUUAGGUGGACAAUUUCUCAAACAUCAUAUUGAAAAUGAACAUGAAAUUUGCAACUUGCAAGUCAAGCUGAAUAGUGUCUAGUGGAAUACUUUCUCGCAAUUGCAAGAAAGAUUGUAGUACAUGAAACAUUAUUUGUGAGCAAACCAUCAAUAGCUGGUUUUGGCUAAAAACCUGAUUAUCCAUACGCAUAUGUUGUUGCCUGCUAUUAAACAUGUAAAGGUUCUUUUGAACACAAUUCUUCCUUAUUGCUUCAUCAUAUCUGUAUCUUUCAUAAUUGUUGUGUUUCUCUUGGUAUAGUUUUCUUUGUAAUACCCUACAAUUCCAACCCAUGCAAAGGUGCUCCAAUCUAACUUGCAAUGAGAAAGAAAAAUGUGCCCUUCUAAGUUUCAAAGUUCUUACAAGUCCUUUAAAUAGGCUCUUGUCUUUGUCUUUUCAAGAUUGCUGAAGAGGGAUUGGAAUCUGAGUGACACGUAAGUGGAAAUCGAGUUGAGCUCCACCUAUAAAUUAAUAUUCUGCUGAUGAAUGAUGAAUAUAGAUUGCCGUUAUGUUGAAAGAUUAAUCCUUUUUUACUGGAGCUAAAACUACUAAAUAAAUUGAGUUAAUUAUUCUAUUGGUGAGGGCAUUCCAAGCUAUUUUGGUUACUCUGGAGAGAAUUAGACAUCUUGACCUCUCCUUUGCAGGAUUUGGAGUAUUCAUUUCUCAGGAGCAUAGAACUCUAUCACAACUUUACUUUCUUAAUCCUACAGGAAAAUGAUCUUUAUUUGGAUGGUCUAGUAUUGGUUUAUUGUCUUUCUUACCUGCAUUAUUUUUAUCAAUCGGUGUCAACUGUCAUAGGGAAAAAGAAAAAGGCUUCAGGUAAUUUGUGGUUCUCUUGUCUCACUUUCUUGUAUGAUUUGCAGUCCAGAUUAUCUUAUAUGGCAGCUAAACUUUAUUAUUUAAAAUUUCAAUUAGGAUGCGCUGAGACAAGGGCUAAUUAAAACUUAAAGUGGACUGGGCAUUGUUAGGAAGUCAAUUCAACUGUAUGGUCCUUUUCAACUCGAGCUUAUAUCAAUGCUGUAAGAUCAUAUUGUAAUUACAGAUCAAAAGACUCUUUUUCCUUCCAAUUUUCUCCAGAAACACGAGCAUUUUUGUUUUAUUAGCUGAAUGGGAACAGAAUAUAAUUGAAGCUUUGUUUUCACUUAAUUUUAUUACCAUAAUCACUCAUAGAAAUGACGUCUUAUAGGUCUAAAGAAUGCAACAAAACAUUUCAUCUCAUUUCAGCUUCGUCUUGAAAUAAUUUUAAACAUGUCGUCGUGGCACUUAUUACUAGAUGAAAUGAUUAGAGGAUUCAGAAAUUACACAACGAUUAAAGGGCCUUCCUUUUCUCAUUGCUGCCUAAUCACACAUUCUUUGCUAAAAAUGUACCCUUCUCUCCAAGCCAAGGAUGACAUGUGGAAUCAAAUCAGAAUAUGGUGUUAUCAAAAAAAAAAAAAAAAAAAAAAAAAAUAUAUAUAUAUAUAUAUAUAUUUUUUUUUUUGCCGCACCUUUCUUCUGUUUUUCUGUGUUUUGGGAUCAACUUAUAUUCUAUAGGCCAAUUAGCUUCCCACAUCUAUCUGGUAUACAAUCCAGAUUGUAAAUAUCCUGCAUUAUUAGUUAUCCUUUUAUCAUUUUCUGUCUUUGUUAAAAUUAUGUGGCUGUUAUAGACCUUUCUUCUCGGAUUUAUGGAUAUUUUGCCAAUAUUCUGGUAAAUAUUUGGAAUUUAUAAAAUUAAAUGUGAUUGAUAAUGAAUCUUAAAUUAACU